rnacentral:rRNA from 1 species
AUUGAACGCUGGCGGCAGGCCUAACACAUGCAAGUCGAACGAGUGGCGGACGGGUGAGUAAUGCUUGAGACUCUAGCUUAUGGAGGGGGAUCACUACGGGAAACUGUCGCUAAUACCGCGUCCUAUAGGAUGAGCCCAUGUGGUAUUAGGUAGUUGGUGGGGUAAUGGCUCACCAAGGCGACGAUCUCUAGCUGGUCUGAGAGGAUGACCAGCCACACUGGAACUGAGACACGGCCCGGACUCCUACGGGAGGCAGCAGUGGGGAAUAUUGAGCAAUGGGGGCAACCUGACGCAGCCAUGCCGCGUGAAUGAAGAAGGCCUUCGGGUUGUAAAGCACUUUCGGUGGGGAGGCGUUAACUGCAGAAGAAGCACCGGCUAACUCCGUGCCAGCAGCCGCGGUAAUAC